UGGGGAAUAUUGCACAAUGGGCGAAAGCCUGAUGCAGCAACGCCGCGUGAGCGAUGAAGGCCUUUGGGUCGUAAAGCUCUGUCCUUGGGGAAGAAAAAAAUGACGGUACCCUUGGAGGAAGCCCCGGCUAACUACGUGCCAGCAGCCGCGGUAAUACGUAGGGGGCAAGCGUUAUCCGGAAUUAUUGGGCGUAAAGAGUGCGUAGGUGGUUUUGUAAGCGCGGGGUGAAAGGCUAUGGCUCAACCAUAGUAAGCCUCGCGAACUGUGAGACUUGAGUGCAGGAGAGGAAAGUGGAAUUCCUAGUGUAGCGGUGAAAUGCGUAGAUAUUAGGAGGAACACCAGUGGCGAAGGCGACUUUCUGGACUGUAACUGACACUGAGGCACGAAAGCGUGGGGAGCAAACAGG
rnacentral:rRNA from 1 species